GAUGAACGCUGGCGGCGUGCCUAAUACAUGCAAGUCGAACGAAACUUCUUUAUCACCGAGUGCUUGCACUCACCGAUAAAGAGUUGAGUGGCGAACGGGUGAGUAACACGUGGGCAACCUGCCCAAAAGAGGGGGAUAACACUUGGAAACAGGUGCUAAUACCGCAUAACCAUAGUUACCGCAUGGUAACUAUGUAAAAGGUGGCUAUACUACCGCUUUUGGAUGGGCCCGCGGCGCAUUAGCUAGUUGGUAGGGUAAAGGCUCACCAAGGCAAUGAUGCGUUACCUAAAUGCGAGGUUUGAUCGCCACAAUUGGACUAUCAAACCGGCCAAGCUCCUACGGGAGGCAGCAGUAGGGAAUCUUCCACAAUGGGCGAAAGCCUGAUGGAGCAACGCCGCGUGGGUGAAGAAGGUCUUCGGAUCGUAAAACCCUGUUGUUAGAGAAGAAAGUGCGUGAGAGUAACUGUUCACGUUUCGACGGUAUCUAACCAGAAAGCCACGGCUAACUACGUG
rnacentral:rRNA from 1 species